rnacentral:rRNA from 1 species
CCUGGCUCAGGAUGAACGCUAGCUACAGGCUUAACACAUGCAAGUCGAGGGGCAGCAUGGUCUUAGCUUGCUAAGGCCGAUGGCGACCGGCGCACGGGUGAGUAACGCGUAUCCAACCUGCCUUACACUCUUGGACAGCCUUCUGAAAGGGAGAUUAAUACAAGAUGUUAUCAUGAGUAAGCAUUUUCGCAUGAUUAAAGGUUUACCGGUGUAAGAUGGGGAUGCGUUCCAUUAGAUAGUAGGCGGGGUAACGGCCCACCUAGUCUUCGAUGGAUAGGGGUUCUGAGAGGAAGGUCCCCCACAUUGGAACUGAGACACGGUCCAAACUCCUACGGGAGGCAGCAGUGAGGAAUAUUGGUCAAUGGACGAGAGUCUGAACCAGCCAAGUAGCGUGAAGAAUGAAGGUUCUAUGGAUUGUAAACUUCUUUUAUACGGGAAUAAACGAAUCCACGUGUGGAUUUUUGCAUGUACCGUAUGAAUAAGGAUCGGCUAACUCCGUGCCAGCAGCCGCGGUAAUACGGAGGAUCCGAGCGUUAUCCGGAUUUAUUGGGUUUAAAGGGAGCGUAGAUGGGUUGUUAAGUCAGUUGUGAAAGUUUGCGGCUCAACCGUAAAAUUGCAAUUGAUACUGGCAGUCUUGAGUACAGUUGAGGUAGGCGGAAUUCGUGGUGUAGCGGUGAAAUGCUUAGAUAUCACGAAGAACUCCGAUUGCGAAGGCAGCUUACUAACCUGUAACUGACAUUGAUGCUCGAAAGUGUGGGUAUCAAACAGGAUUAGAUAUCCUGGUAGUCCACACGGUAAACGAUGAAUACUCGCUGUAGGCGAUAUACAGUCUGCGGCCAAGCGAAAGCAUUAAGUAUUCCACCUGGGGAGUACGCCGGCAACGGUGAAACUCAAAGGAAUUGACGGGGGCCCGCACAAGCGGAGGAACAUGUGGUUUAAUUCGAUGAUACGCGAGGAACCUUACCCGGGCUUAAAUUGCAACCGAAUAUGGCGGAAACGCUAUAGCUAGCAAUAGCGGUUGUGAAGGUGCUGCAUGGUUGUCGUCAGCUCGUGCCGUGAGGUGUCGGCUUAAGUGCCAUAACGAGCGCAACCCUUGCCGAUAGUUACUAACAGGUCAUGCUGAGGACUCUGUCGGGACUGCCAUCGUAAGAUGUGAGGAAGGUGGGGAUGACGUCAAAUCAGCACGGCCCUUACGUCCGGGGCUACACACGUGUUACAAUGGGGGGUACAGAGGGCUGCUACCACGCAAGUGGAUGCCAAUCCCAAAAACCUCUCUCAGUUCGGAUUGAAGUCUGCAACCCGACUUCAUGAAGCUGGAUUCGCUAGUAAUCGCGCAUCAGCCACGGCGCGGUGAAUACGUUCCCGGGCCUUGCACACACCGCC